CACCAUGUAACGCUGACCUUCUGUUCCAAGCUUGUGGAAGUUUACUUGUGUUUUGCGUGGGUGUGUGGAUUACUCAGAGACAAACCAACACUGGAGAGAUUUAAGACAGAUGGGUUUAUUUGGAACAAUAAAUGUACUAGGAAUCAGAGCAAUUUUGGAGCCACUUCUCCUGCUGCUACUUCCACUACAGUUGGCUCCAGGACAGCUCCUCCAUGUUUGCUGCUUGCCCUGGGCUUGACCGUGCACCAGCUGGGCCAACUCCUAUGAGAGAUAUCCAUGAGUCUAAGCAUGAAGGGGAAGCGCGAGAAAGACCGGCGGGACAGGGCUCAACACUCACCGGCAGUGACUCUUGGACUCCUGUGAACUCAAACUUUAUUAUGCAAAGAACCCCUUCAGUCUUUGACUGCUCCCCCGUAGGACCUGAAGCCCAAACCAGGGACUCAAACCACUGCUCCCAUUGGAUAUGAUGUUACUACAACAUCACCCAUAGUAUUCUAUAGCAAUGGAGAGACGAAAACCACUGCACACUGUAGGAUAAAUUACUACACAAUUGUGUUUUUAUGCGCUAUAACACACGCAACCCUGCUUAUGUAGCAAACGCCACCACCGCACAAUAUUGAUAUGCAUUCCGUGUUGCAUCAUUCAGGGAGGUAGCUGAUCUGUAAGGUUGGUUCAGGCACCAUUAGGCUGAUGGAAAGAAAUGCCCAAUGACGAUUUAUUAAAGGGUAGAAGGUCCUAAAUGUGAAAGUAGGCCAGGUUAAUGAGAGGACUUCAAUUUGUUUCUCAAAAAGUAGAUCCAAUACCACAGAAAGACAUGACCGGUUACGUGCUUUGUCCAUCGGGGAGGUCAAUCUUAUUAAUCUUCUGUUUUGGAACUACUUUGAGUCAUGUGGAUUUUUAUUGAGAGAAUUCGUCGUUCUGUCAAUGAAAAGCUCCGAAAAAACUGGUUUGAAAAUAUUGUGAACCUGUCGAUACCAAUAGCACAAAUAUAUCUGAUGUUCCGUUUCACACGUGUUCAUUCCAAGCUCCGUUACUUCCUGUGUGUCGCAUUUACCCUGGUUCCUCUCGUUAUACACAAACACGGCACAGCAUCCUUUUAAUCUAAGCCAUGCUGUUUAUUGACUUUGAGCAAAUACACAGGCACUUUCCUUUGGCACUUCUGCAUCACCAGUCACCUCCUCAAAAGGGCAGGUAACCCUCUGCAGCAUACCAGUAUUUACCAUGUGUUUUAGACCAUUUUUAUAAGUGUUUUAUGAAUAUUUUAUAGACGUGUAUAAAUGAACUCUACAGAGGGGAUCAUACCGACUACUCAAAUGCACACAAGGUUAAUCAUGUCAACUGAUGAAUGUUAUUGUCAGUGUAGUGUAUGCAUUUAUACAUAUUGCUUAUGUUUCAUAACAAGUCCAAUGAGUAUAUCCUCUGGCGUGUUGAUGUUGAUGUUCUCCGUAUCCACAGCCAGAAUGAUUUUGCAGUGCAUGGUGAUCAAACAUGUUUCCUGUUAUAUUCAUCAGAGGUGUAGGGAGGGUGAAGUCUGUGAAUCCAAUUUUUUAUUAUACAGAUGUUUAAUUAAACAUGUACACGACAGUACUCAUACCUUGGUUUUUGUGGUAAAUGGGAAUUUAAAAGAACUGUUUUGAUAAUGG
rnacentral:lncRNA from 1 species